GUGUUCUUUUCCCUUUCUCCAAUUUGAAUGUUCCUGGCAACCUGCAUUCUUUUAUGUUACUUUUUUCUUUUUACAAACACUGAUCGAGAUUUAAAAGGGGAGCAAUAUUGAGUUUGCAUGUGACUUAAUAAACAGAUUAAAAUCCUUAAAACAAUAUGUUUUAUCUGUAUGAACAUUAUGGAUUAUUUAUUCCUUUUAGAGUUUUCUGAAUAAAUAAAUGAUGAAUGGGUCCAUGGGACACAGAUUAUGCCCCUGCUUGCAUAUAACAUUUUAAAGGGUCAUAAAUCAAGAAUGGUAAAAGUGACACACAGUACCCAAAUGAGUACUUGAUCUGAUUUUUGUGGUAAUAAGCAUUGUGUUUAAGUUUCAGUACAUUUGGUUAAGCAAACUUAAGUUUAUAGUGAACUAAAACAAAUAAACAGAUGUGCCAUGUGAACAUGAU
rnacentral:lncRNA from 1 species